GAUGAACGCUGGCGGCGUGCCUAAUACAUGCAAGUCGAGCGAACAGACGAGGAGCUUGCUCCUCUGACGUUAGCGGCGGACGGGUGAGUAACACGUGGAUAACCUACCUAUAAGGCUGGGAUAACUUCGGGAAACCGGAGCUAAUACCGGAUAAUAUAUUGAACCGCAUGGUUCAAUAGUGAAAGACGGUUUUGCUGUCACUUAUAGAUGGAUCCGCGCCGCAUUAGCUAGUUGGUAAGGUAACGGCUUACCAAGGCAACGAUGCGUAGCCGACCUGAGAGGGUGAUCGGCCACACUGGACCUGAGACACGGUCCAGACUCCUACGGGAGGCAGCAGUAGGGAAUCUUCCGCAAUGGGCGAAAGCCUGACGGAGCAACGCCGCGUGAGUGAUGAAGGUCUUCGGAUCGUAAAACUCUGUUAUUAGGGAAGAACAAAUGUGUAAGUAACUAUGCACGUCUUGACGGUACCUAAUCAGAAAGCCACGGCUAACUACGUG
rnacentral:rRNA from 1 species